UAAGCCUUGUACACGAAAUCGUUGCCUCUUUUCCGCAAUGGAUAUUACAAGCCGCGCCUUUGAGUGAUCGUCUCCUCCCUCUCCUCGUCUCUCGCUAGCUCUCACCCACCCAUCUCCUCGCACAUCGCGUCCAACCUCUCUGACAUUAAAAUAAUUUAAUUUAAUACCCGGCAAUUCCGCUUAUUGCCAUUGCAACAUCAAUUUUAAUAAUAGCCAUCUCGGUGAGAUCCUCCCGACACCCUCUGGGUUUGCAUCUGGACGAUCAACCAUCACCGAACGCUUCCUGCCAUUUUAGUCUCGGGAACUUGAUCGAGCGUCCUUGUGCGUGCAUCUUUGAAACCAACAACACUCUUCCUAAUUCCCUCACUAAAGUGCGAUCGAUUCCCGCUCCACAUGCAGAAACAGCAACAGCAACAGCAACAUCAGCAAGGACAGCAAUAAUGGCAACGCAGCGGCAGCACCAAACAGCCCGCAGCUACUUUUGUUGCUUCUUCUCGCGGACAGAUGGUAGCCGGAUCGCGUUACAGAAAUUACCAAUUACCUAUAACAUGCAAUUUCAACCUGCCCUCGCUCGCUCUGCUAUCGUAUUAAUAUGCGGCAGUUACGCGGCAGUUACGCGGCAGUUACGUGGCAUGACCGAACUCUUCUCUUCAACCCCUUUUGUAACAUGAUACACAUCUAAGAAUUUCAAGAAUACCUUUCAACGUUCUCGCUUUAGAAAAUUAAAUCUUGACACGGAUAUAUCGAUAGUACGAAUGUAAAAUAAACAGAAGGUAGAUCGUGAUUGUUAAUUAUUCAUCUACUCCAGUUUCUAUUAGAUCAGUACACAGUGAUCUAUCAGAAGUCGUUAGAAUUAGAUCGACAAUCAUUACUUUCUAUUCGUGACAAUAGGGAAUAGAUAAUUUGAUAAGACUUCCUAGAGCGUUCAUCGCUGAUAGAUAAUAAUCAAAGGAAUCAUCAAUUUACAUACUCGCAAGAGCAUAAUGAAUUGCGCAAGUUCGUGCAUUAAAUUUGUUAAUAACUAUAAUGUCCAAGCUAUCUCUUUUUCGUGAUAACGUCGUUAUUAGCUUAUCACCAUGAGCUGCUCCAUAAAAUACUGCAAAUUGUAUAUUUCGAUCAAUGCUCGAAUAUAAAUUCUCUCGUAUGCUAAA